GAUGAAGAACGUAGCGAAAUGCGAUAAGUAAUGUGAAUUGCAGAAUCCAGUGAAUCAUCGAAUCUUUGAACGCACAUUGCGCCCGCCAGCAUUCUGGCGGGCAUGCCUGUUCGAGCGUCAUUUCAACCCUCGACCUCCCUUUGGGGAAGUCGGCGUUGGGGACCGGCAGCACACCGCCGGCCCUGAAAUGGAGUGGCGGCCCGUCCGCGGCGACCUCUGCGUAGUAAUCCAACUCGCACCGGAACCCCGACGCGGCCACGCCGUAAAACACCCAACUUCUGAACGUUGACCUCGAAUCAGGUAGGACUACCCGCUGAACUUAAGCAUAUCAAAAGCGGAGGA
rnacentral:misc_RNA from 1 species